GCCAGCAUGGUGCAUUGGUUUGAGCACUGGACUAUGACUCUAGAGAUCAGGGUUUGAACCCCCACCUGGCC